CAGUAGCCGCGGGAAUACGUAGGGCGCAAGCGUUGUCCGGAAUUAUUGGGCGUAAAGAGCUCGUAGGCGGUCUGUCGCGUCUGGUGUGAAAUCCCGAGGCUCAACCUCGGGCUUGCAUCGGGUACGGGCAGACUAGAGUGCGGUAGGGGAGACUGGAAUUCCUGGUGUAGCGGUGGAAUGCGCAGAUAUCAUGAGGAACACCGAUGGCGAAGGCAGGUCUCUGGGCCGCAACUGACGCUGAGGAGCGAAAGCAUGGGGAGCGAACAGGAUUAGAUACCCCCGUAGUCCCUGUCUCUUAUAC
rnacentral:rRNA from 1 species